rnacentral:rRNA from 1 species
AGUGAACGCUGGCGGCAGGCUUAACACAUGCAAGUCGAGCGGGCAUCCUUGUGGUGUCAGCGGCAGACGGGUGAGUAACGCGUGGGAACGUGCCCUUUGGUUCGGAAUAACUCAGGGAAACUUGAGCUAAUACCGGAUACGCCCUUUUGGGGAAAGGCUUGCUGCCGAAGGAUCGGCCCGCGUCUGAUUAGCUUGUUGGUGAGGUUAUGGCUCACCAAGGCGACGAUCAGUAGCUGGUCUGAGAGGAUGAUCAGCCACACUGGGACUGAGACACGGCCCAGACUCCUACGGGAGGCAGCAGUGGGGAAUAUUGGACAAUGGGGGCAACCCUGAUCCAGCCAUGCCGCGUGAGUGAUGACGGCCUUAGGGUUGUAAAGCUCUUUUCUCCGGGACGAUAAUGACGGUACCGGAGGAAUAAGCCCCGGCUAACUUCGUGCCAGCCGCCGCAGUAAAAC